rnacentral:rRNA from 1 species
AUACGAAGGGGGCUAGCGUUGUUCGGAUUUACUGGGCGUAAAGCGCACGUAGGCGGGUCGUUAAGUCAGGGGUGAAAUCCCGGAGCUCAACUCCGGAACUGCCUUUGAUACUGGCGACCUUGAGGCCGGAAGAGGUUAGUGGAAUUCCCAGUGUAGAGGUGAAAUUCGUAGAUAUUGGGAAGAACACCAGUGGCGAAGGCGGCUAACUGGUCCGGAUCUGACGCUGAGGUGCGAAAGC